UAAUACAUGCAAGUCGUACGCACUGGCCCAACUGAUUGAUGGUGCUUGCACCUGAUUGACGAUGGAUCACCAGUGAGUGGCGGACGGGUGAGUAACACGUAGGUAACCUGCCCCGGAGCGGGGGAUAACAUUUGGAAAACAGAUGCUAAUACCGCAUAACAACAAAAGCCACAUGGCUUUUGUUUGAAAGAUGGCUUUGGCUAUCACUCUGGGAUGGACCUGCGGUGCAUUAGCUAGUUGGUAAGGUAACGGCUUACCAAGGCGAUGAUGCAUAGCCGAGUUGAGAGACUGAUCGGCCACAAUGGAACUGAGACACGGUCCAUACUCCUACGGGAGGCAGCAGUAGGGAAUCUUCCACAAUGGGCGCAAGCCUGAUGGAGCAACACCGCGUGAGUGAAGAAGGGUUUCGGCUCGUAAAGCUCUGUUGUUGGAGAAGAACGUGCGUGAGAGUAACUGUUCACGCAGUGACGGUAUCCAACCAGAAAGUCACGGCUAACUACGUGCCAGCAGCCGCGGUAAUAC
rnacentral:rRNA from 2 species